UGGGGAAUCUUGCGCAAUGGACGAAAGUCUGACGCAGCGACGCCGCGUGGGUGAAGAAGGCCUUCGGGUUGUAAAGCCCUGUCGAGUGGGAAAAAUGGCAAUACGAGUAACUGCGUGUUGCGUGAUUGUACCACUAAAGGAAGCACCGGCUAACUCUGUGCCAGCAGCCGCGGUAAUACAGAGGGUGCAAGCGUUGUUCGGAAUUAUUGGGCGUAAAGGGCAGGUAGGUGGUCUUACAAGUCUACUGUGAAAUCCCUGGGCUUAACCCAGGACGUGCGGUGGAUACUGUAAGACUUGAGUGCCGGAGGGGUGCGUGGAAUUCCGAGUGUAGCGGUGAAAUGCGUAGAUAUUCGGAGGAACACCAGAGGCGAAAGCGGCGCACUGGACGGCAACUGACACUCAACUGCGAAAGCGUGGGGAGCAAACAGG
rnacentral:rRNA from 1 species